UGGGGAAUAUUGGACAAUGGGCGAAAGCCUGAUCCAGCCAUGCCGCGUGAGUGACGAAGGUCUUCGGAUUGUAAAGCUCUUUUGGCGGGGACGAUAAUGACGGUACCCGCAGAAUAAGCCCCGGCUAACUUCGUGCCAGCAGCCGCGGUAAUACGAAGGGGGCUAGCGUUGUUCGGAAUUACUGGGCGUAAAGCGCACGUAGGCGGACUGAUAAGUCAGGGGUGAAAUCCCGGGGCUCAACCUCGGAACUGCCUUUGAUACUGUUAGUCUCGAGUCCGGAAGAGGUGAGUGGAAUUCCUAGUGUAGAGGUGAAAUUCGUAGAUAUUAGGAAGAACACCAGUGGCGAAGGCGGCUCACUGGUCCGGUACUGACGCUGAGGUGCGAAAGCGUGGGGAGCAAACAGGAUUAGAUACCCAGGUAGUCCCUGAGCGGGCUGGCAAGGCGCAU
rnacentral:rRNA from 1 species